CCUCCCAGUUGUGCUGGGAGCUCUUUGCUUUCCUGUAAUAAAGACUUUGCUUGCUUGCUGCCUGUGUGUUCUCGGAGUUCAUUCUUUGACUGAAUGAACAAGAACCCAGAUGCUGGUAACAUCUUCCUGGCAUCAUCUUUUGGGGGCUCAUCCGGGAUCCAAUCCAAUACGCUAGCGCUCACAAAGUAAGUGGCAGCAAACUUGCGAUUUAUACUUUUUUCAGUUUCGUUUGCUUCUGAAAGGAGGGCAAAUGUGUGAAUGAGUGAGAGUGAGAUGUGUCCCAGACAUGAAGUGACUGUGGAGUCCCAAUCUGCUGUUACGUUUAAGCUCCUAAGCGACCUCAUACACCUAAACAGGGAGCCCUCCUGAGUCCAGUCAGGCCAGGAUUCCGGUUGCGGGUUUAUACUAUCCUGCUAUAUGCCAAGAGGCACCAAACAAGGUGUCCCGAGAGGGAGACAGCCAGAGACUGAUGAAGCGAGUCACGACGCAAGUUUUCCUUCCCAUUCCCCCCCCCCACCCUGAAAUCUCCUCUAGGUAUUCUAUAGCCUUUAUAAGGAAUUUGGGAAAUCACAGGUUACUAUAUUUCUGAAGGUUAGCAAUUGUUGAAAGGCAUGUGAGGAACAAAAAUGUUUUUUUAAUGAAUUCUUGAAGGGUGAUAAAGGGCUUAAAAUAGCUGUCCCUAACCCCUUAGGAGACUCUCAUCUCCACCUUCCCUGCUUCCUACAGUAUGUUAGGAGCCAGCAUUUUACAGUAAAUGAUGUUGGUUGAGUAGCCGGAGUCCAAGUUGUGAUGAAAAUCUUUUAGUGGCGUCCCUAAGAGGACAAGAUGCAAGGAAACCCCUUACAUGUUGAGGGGGAAAAAAUGCUAAGGGCUAUGUGGACAAAAGUCCUCAUAAUCCAGUUCUGUAAGUUUAGGGAGUUGCCCUUGAAUUAUAAGUCCAUCCCAUUAUAUCAUAUUUCUGGUUUUCUAACCCUUAUUAUUUUUAGCCAGUUCAUCACCCCUUGGGCUUUAGGCCAAUUGAUAGCACCUCUUACACGACUUUAGCCUUGUCCCUUAUGCUGGGCUCAGUCAUUGUUAUAUUCUUCUCAUCAAAUAAUGCCCAAUCUCCUUAGGAAUCCUUUAAAGGGCUAAUCUGAUCCUUCAUCAUUUCCUUUGCUAUUACCUCUAAUGGAGCUGCGGGAGGCAAAGGAAACAGACCUCUAGAUGUUAAGACCACCCUGAGUUGCUACCAUGCCUGUCUGUGAGGGAGAAGGAGUUCAUAACUAGUAUUGAUCCGAAUUAGGCCAAGUGUUUAGUCUCAGAGCCCAGGCAUGCUCAGUUUUGCUUUUUGCUAUUUACUUUCACCCUGGUUGGAGAAACCAAUAGCUGGUUCAUCCAAUUUACCCAUUAACUGUGGCUUAGGAAUUUUCCUCAAUAUUAAUAGAGGGCAUAUCAGAGUGAACAUCCUAGAAUUCUGAAACUCAGGACAAUACCUGCAUGUCUGGGUUUCUUCACCUCUGCCCAAAGGCAGGUCAUGGGCAGGGACGACAGGAAAAGAGGCUACACUGGUAAAGAGUGGUUAAUUCCAGUCAGCCUAAGGUCAGAUGGUACACUUUACCACUAAUGUCUAGCUGUUCUGUACAAGAGAGGGGAUGCCCUCACAUAUCUGAGAAAGGACAAUAGGCACUGGAUGCUGGUCCUCUCUUUUUCAGAUGGGAGCCACAUCCUCGAGCCUCUUGCAUGGCUCAAUAGCAACUCCUCUGACACGUGCCUUAAAGAACUGGGAAAAGUUUGACCCUCAGACUCUGAGGGGAAAAAAAACGUUUAGUUUUCUUUGGCACGAAAGCCUGGCCACUACAUAACCUGUCGGAUGGGGAGCGAUGGCCCUCUGAAUGCUCUCGAGAUUAUAAUGCUAUUCUCCAAUUAGAUCUAUUUUGUAGAUGAGAAGGGAAAUGGCCAGAGGUACCUUAUUUUCAGAUCCUCUUUACAGUGAGGGAAGAUACUAAACUGAGGAAGUCUUGUGGACUUCCCCAGUGCAUGUGCCAACUCUCUGAGGACCUAGGUGCCCACUGUAUUCUGGCACAAUUGGGUCAGAACCUCCUGAGGUUAAUCAGCCUUCUCCAAUACUGCCCAAAGCUCCUCCUCUCCCCACUCCAGUGCCAAAUUUAUAUCCCUCUUUACUUCCUUUGCAAGAGAUAGCAAAUGGAGAGUGGGGACCAAUACUAGUCCAUGUGCCUUUUUCGCUACAGGAUUUAAGGCAGAUAAAAACAGAUUUGGAAAAAUUUGCUGACGACCCAGAUAGAUAUAUUGAGGUCUUUCAGGGUCUCACACAGUCCUUUGAGUUAGCCUGCAAGGAUGUCAUAUUAUUACUAAACAAGACAUUGACUAUAAGUAAAAAAAUAUAGUCUUAGGAAAUGCUCGAGGCUGGGGAGAUAAGUGGUAUGCUAUAAAUGCCAGAGGCAGAUCAGAAGAGGAAUGAACAAGAUUCCCCACAGGUGUCUAGGCAGUUCCUAUGAGUGAUGCUAAUUGGUCUGCUGAUGAUGGGGAUAAAGACAAUUGGCAUUGAAAUCAUUUUAUAACUUGUAUAGUUGAGAGACUAAAAGCUACAUGAGUAAAGCCCGUUAACUACUCCAAACUAUUGGAGGUUUGUCAAGGGGAAAGAGAGAAUCUAUCGCUUUCUUAGACUCAGAGAGGCAUUGAGAAAACAUAUACCAAUGGACCCAGAAUCAAUGGAGGGCCAAAUAAUUCUUAAAGACAAAUUCAUAACUCAAUCGGUGUGAGAUAUAUGGAGAAAGCUCCAAAAAUUGGAUUUUGGCCCUGACCAGGACCUGGAGCACCUCCUUAGAGUAGCAACUCAAGUAUGUUAUAAUCGGGACCAGGAAGAACAAAAGGAGAACGAGGAGAGAGCAAAGGCUGAGGCUCUAGUUAUUGUGCUACAGGGAGUCAACCUGGGGGCUUCUAAGGUGAAAGGACUAGGGCAGAGACCUAAACCUGGAGCCUGUUUCCUCUGUGGAAAAUAGGGACACUUGAAAUGGAAAUGCCCCAAGGCUCCCACAGCACCUAGGCCAUGUCCCAUAUGUCAGGGUGAUCACUGGAAGAGGGACUGCCCCUGAAGAUGAAGGUCCUCAGGGUUGACCCCUGAAGCCCAGGAUCAAGACCAGUGGGACCUGGGGCUUUCCUUAUCACCACUCAGGAGCCCCGGUUGACUCUAAAUGUAGGACGACAGCCUAUUGACUUCCUGCUGGAUACAGGAGCCACCUUUUCGGUUCUCCUCUCUAACCCUGGCCCCCCCUCAAAUAAAUCCGCCACUAUUUGUAGUAUUUCUGGCAAGCUGGUUACAAAAUUCUUUACACAGCUUUGAGUUGUGACUGGGAGUCCAUUUUCUUCUCUCAUGCUUUUCCGAUUGUUCCAGAGAGUCUAACUCCUCUUUUAGGAAGAGAGAUUUCAUCAAAGGUUAAAGCCUCAAUUCACAUGACAAUGGAGCCUAAUCAAGGUUUAUGCCUGCCUUUGAUGGAAGUAGAUAUUGACCUAGAAGUCUGGGCCAGAGGAGGAAAGAUAGGAAGAGAAAACCUGCUCAACUUUAAAUCCUGCAACUUUUCUUCCUGACUUGCUAGAUCAGAAAGUCAAACAUGAUUGUCACCAGAUCUUAUGCAGCCAGGGAGGACUUAAAGGAUGAGCCCUUAUCUAAUCCUGGUCUCAUUAUGAUUAUAGAUGGCAGCUCAUUUAUUGAAAAGGGAGAAUGUAAGGCAGGAUAUGCAGUUGUAAGUCUAUAUGAAACCCUAGAAAGUGGACCUUGAAACCAGGAACAAGUGCUCAAUUAGCAGAAUUAAUAGCGAUAACUAGGGCAUUGGAAUUGGGGUCAGGAAAAAGGAUAAAUGUUUACGCGGACUCCAAAUAUGUAUAUCUAGUUCUCCAUACACAUGCAGCAUGGAAACUGGAAAAUAUUCAGUAUUAAUAUCUUAUAUUAAAAUUGAAGUUUGAUCUAAUUAAUACAGACAUGUUGUUACAGUUAACAACAUGAAGUAUAAUAUCUUAUUGUACCUGGGUUUAGUAAAAAAUCAAAUGAGUUACUGAGACAUCAGUUACUAAACAGAGAAACAAAAGGUGUUUAGGACUAUUGAUCAAUAUAUUUAGUGCCACCCGAGAUGUUCUCUAUAAGAAAAACGUGUUUUUAGAAAUUAUAAAAGACAGUCCAUGGUUACUUUAGAAAAGUAGAAUGUGUGUGCUUUCAGUAAAGAAAGCAUGAGGAAUGGAAUUUAUUUUAUUAAGGGAAAAAGACUGUCUUUAGCUUGUUGCUCUGGAUCAAAAAAUAAGGAGCAGACUAAUAUGGAUACAGAAAGUGAUGCAAAGUGUGUGGGAAGUGGAUGCUGAGAAAAGAAUUUUGUGGAGUUACCACUGUGGCUCAGCGGAAAAGAACCUGACUAGAAACUAUGAUGUUGUGGGUUCAAUCCCUGGCCUCGCUCAGUGGGUUAAGGAUCUGGUGUGGCUGUGGCGUAGGUCAGCAGCUGUAACGCUGAUUAGACCCCUAACCUGGGAACCUCUGUAUGCUGUGGGUGCGGCCCUAAAAGCAAAAAAAUUUGGAAAAAAAAAUUUGUACAUGGUGGGGACUUAAGUUUAAAAUUGAGUUGGGAGUUCCUGUUGUGAGUUCCCGUCAUGGCGCAGUGGUUAACGAAUCCAACUAGGAACCAUGAGGUUGAGGGUUCGAUCCCUGCCCUUGCUUAGUGGGUUAACAAUCUGGUGUUGCUGUGAGCUGUGGUGUAGGUCGCAUACGUAGCUCGGAUCCCGCGUUGCUCUGGCUCUGGCGUAGACCGGUGGCUACAGCUCUGAUGAGACCCCUAGCCUGGGAACCUCCAUAUGCUGUGGGAGUGGCCCAAGAAAUGACAAAAAGACAAAAAAAUUUAAUAAUAAUAAAAAUAAAAGCAAAAGUAAGUCCCCACUAUGUACAAUUUUUUUUAAAUUUAAAAUUGAGUUGGGAGUUCCUAUUGUGGCUCAGUGGGUUACAAACCUGACUAGUAAUCAUGGAGAUGUGGGUUUGAUUCCUAGCCUUGAUCAGUGGGUUAAAGAUUAAGGGUCCAGUGUUGUUAUGAGCUGUGGCAUAUGUCAUAGAUGUGGCCUGGAUCAUGAGUUGCUGUGGUGUAGGCCAGCAGCUGCAGCUCCUAUCUGACCCCUAGUCUGGAAACUUCCAUAUGCCAUAGGUGCGGCCCUAAAAAGCAAAAAAAAAAAAAAAAAAAAA
rnacentral:lncRNA from 1 species